CUGCAGCUCGAGUGGUGGCCGCUAUUAUUGGGCCUAAAACGUCCGUAGCCGGUCUAAUAAAUGCCUGGGUAAAUCGUGUAGCUUAACUAUACGAAUUCCGGGUAGACUGUUAAACUUGAGACCGGGAGAAGCUAGAGGUACUCCUGGGGUAGAGGUGAAAUUCUGUAAUCCUAGGGGGACCACCAGUGGCGAAGGCGUCUAGCUAGAACGGGUCUGACGGUGAGGGACGAAGCCCUGGGGCGCAAACCGGAUUAGGUACCCGGGUAGUCCAGGGUGUAAACGCUGCUUGCUUGAUGUUAGUUGGGCUCUGAGCCCCAAUUAGUGUCGGAGAGAAGUUGUUAAGCAAGCUGCCUGGGAAGUACGGUCGCAAGACUG
rnacentral:rRNA from 1 species